AUUAAAUAGCUGCAGUAUUUUAACUGUACAAAGGUAGCGUAGUAAUUAGUCUUUUAAUUGAGGUCUCGAAUGAACGGUUUAACAAGAAAAUAACUUUAUUUAAUUAAUUACAUGAAUUUUAUUUUUUAGUUAAAAAGCUAAAAUAAUUAAAUGGGACGAUAAGACCCUAUAGAUCUUAAAAUUUUUAUAAAUAAAUUCAUUUAAGAAAAGAAGGGUUUUCUCUAUAAAAAUUUUUUGUUGGGGUGACAUUGAAAAUUUUAAAACUUUUAAGUGAGAAAACAUUAAUAAAUGAAUUUUUUGAACUCAAACUUUGGGUUGUCAAAAUAAGAUACCUUAGGGAUAACAGCGUAAUAAAUUUGUAUAGUUCAUAUAAUUAAAUUUGUUUACGACCUCGAUGUUGAAUUAACUUAAAGUUUUGGGGCAGAAGAUAAAAUUUUAGGUCUGUUCGACCUUUAAAAGGUUACA
rnacentral:rRNA from 1 species